AAUGAUGACAACUUCAUACCCAAAGCAGAGAAAUAAUGUUGAAAAAUCUAUUUAACAUGCAUCACCAUCUGA
rnacentral:snoRNA from 1 species